rnacentral:rRNA from 1 species
GUGGGGAAUAUUGGACAAUGGGCGCAAGCCUGAUCCAGCCAUGCCGCGUGAGUGAUGAAGGCCUUAGGGUUGUAAAGCUCUUUCAGUAGGGAAGAUAAUGACGGUACCUACAGAAGAAGCCCCGGCUAACUUCGUGCCAGCAGCCGCGGUAAUACGAAGGGGGCUAGCGUUGUUCGGAUUUACUGGGCGUAAAGCGCACGUAGGCGGAUUGGUCAGUUAGAGGUGAAAUCCCGAAGCUCAACUUCGAAACUGCCUUUAAUACUGCCAGUCUCGAGUCCGGAAGAGGUGAGUGGAACUCCUAGUGUAGAGGUGGAAUUCGUAGAUAUUAGGAAGAACACCAGUGGCGAAGGCGGCUCACUGGUCCGGUACUGACGCUGAGGUGCGAAAGCGUGGGGAGCAAACAGGAUUAGAUACCCGUGUAGUCC